AUUGUCUGUCUAUAUGUUAGGCUUUCGGAGGAGGAGAAAGAAAAUCAAAAAGAAAGGUCCUGAAUGAAGUUUCCUUCAGAGGACAGGUGUAUUGACACAGCAGUAAACAGUAUGGCAGGGGUCCGGAGUGAGAGGCGUCAGUCCUGGAAGGUUUCUCCCUGAAUCAGCCCCAGCCAGGCCACAUCUGAGGCUUAGCCCAGCCAAGAGUCCAGCCACUGCCCAGCUGCCUGUGGACACACGGGCCCUGUGCUGUCUCAGCUGAGAGGUCCCCAUCUACUGACUCACUCGCACCUGGGGCUUCUUGGCUGGUCAUCUGGAAAGGUACAAACUGAAGUUUUCUUUAUCCAAGGCAAUCUUUUAGAAGUCACCCUACGUUUCUUCAAAGUGUCUGGACGCAGUGUGGAGCGUGGUUUAUUUCGUCCAUGUUGCGGCAGCCUGUGUUGGAACUCGCUGAGGUUUGAAGCCUGUCAUCAACAUACAGACUGACAUGAACUUUCAAUGGGAGUCACAGAGGGCUGUACGGGCAAACAGGAGAAAUGACAGGGUACCAAAGACCGCCCUGUCAGCUGAAGGGCACCCUGGAUGCCUGUCUCUGAGCCCUCACACUCCUGUAACCUGUGAAGAGUGGGCAAGCAGAACAGGUGAUGGGUCAUGCAUCUUCCUGACACACUGUGAAGCAGGAAGAAACAGGAACAGUAGCUCUGUGUUACACGUGAGGAGCGAGAAGCACCAACAUGGUUGCUGUCCUGGAACUCACAAAGCAGGCUGCCUGGGCUUGCCAGGGAAGCCCCAGGAAUCUGCUCCACAAUUCUUAGAUCAUUAUAAGUAAAACGUUAUUAGUGAAUAUGUAUCAUGUUUUUCUCAUGUAUUAUUGUUGUAUUAUUAUAUACGGAUAUAUCAUCAGAGACUCAUAAGAAUAUAAAAGAAAAAGUUACAGUUAUAUGCUCAGACAUUAGCAUUGGUUGUAACUGAUGUUGAGAUUGGAGAACAUUAUUUCCUUAUUUUGUGUUCUCUUAUACAUAACUUUGUAACACAAACAACAAAGACACUGCAAACAUGGAUCUGGCACAGGGUACUUCCCUGACUUAAGUACAAAAAAGAAAUUAAAUUUAAUAUCUAAAGUUCCUGAAAAUAUUUUAUAGUCACACAGCAUGGACCAAGUCUGUUUCAGGAUGUGUGCUCUGUUUCGGAUGAUUGACCAGCAAGCCCCAAGGAUCUGCCUGUCUCCACCACCCCUCGACCUCCUAGCAUUGGAACUGCAGACAGGAGCUGACACACCCAGGCUUUCACAUGGAUGCUAAGAAUGAUCUAACUCAGGUCUCAGGCUUCCACUGCAAGUGUUGCACCCACUGAGCCAUCCAUCCCGCCCCCUCUACUCUUCGGAAGUUUCCAACCCUAAUAUGGUUUCCGACAAUUGUGUCCAACAAUAAAUAUGUUUUGCUUUAGGGAGGAAAUUCCUCAUUCUCUUCCUUGAGACUCUCUGUUGAACAAAGACAGAUCUUUUGUUAAAAGUAUAAGUUACCAGCUGCCAUAUUCUUGAUAUCUGCAUUCUUUGCAGGGUCUUCAUUCUGGAUUUCAUCUUCAAUAUGGAUCCACAGGCUUUAAGAACAUAACGCUUUCUAAAGAGCUCCAGCAAUGGAAACAGCUGUCAGCUCUUCCACCAAAGAUGCUCAAACCAUCACGCUGUCACAUUUAAAUAUAAGAAGCCCCCAAUAUGGAAGAAGACAUCGCUUCUGGUUACCGUCUUGUGUGUGCUAGCUCUCUUUCACUAAUGUCCACUUAAAAAAUAUACAUCAUAACUUGAGCACAGCGGCACAUGCUUUUAAUCCCAGCACCUGGGAGGCAGAGGCAGGCGGGUCCCUGAGAUUUGAGGCCAACCUGGUCUACAGAGUGAGUUCCAGGACAGCAGGGGCUAUAUAGUUAAACCAUCCAUGUUUUGAAGAAACAAGCAAGUGUAUAUUAUUUACUUAUAUUACAUAUUACAUUGUGCAUAUAUAGUAUAUAUGCAUCAUAGUAAUCUGUCCAUCCCAUACAUUGAAUGAAUUGAUAUUUCAAUCUCCCAAAAAUCUGGAGAAGAAUGUGUGUUCCUUGCUGAGCACUUAAGUGUGUUUAUGAACUGAGUAAAUCAUGCCUUGGCAAAUUAUCGGACUAAAGCAUUGAGUUUCACAAGUGCAGACUUAGAAAUUUAGCAACUAUUAACUUUAACUUUUUUCCCUUUAAAGUUGGGGUAGUAUUUCUCACCGAGGACAUCUUUCCACCAAACUUAAUAUUUAUAUCUCCAACUGCUUCAGAAGUCAGACAGCCAGAUAGAGAGCCAAAAGUGUGAAGUGACAAAGAGUUUCUCAGAUUCUC
rnacentral:lncRNA from 1 species